CGUGAAAUUGCUGAAAGGGACACGUUUGACACCAGUUAUGCGGGUGGAAAAUCAGUCUUUUGCAAUGGGGAGUUGUGGGCGUUCAGACCGCAAGGCUGGCGUUUGCUUCAUCUUUGUUGUAAGUGAUGCACUUUUUCAUUUGCAGGUCAACAUCAGUUUGCUUUGCUGGACAAAACCCCAAGGGAAGGUGGCAGCUUAGGCUGUGUUAUAGCCCUGGGGCGAUACAGUGGAGUGGACUGAGGUUUCGCAGG
rnacentral:rRNA from 1 species